GAGAGAGAGAGAGAAUCCCAAGAAGAUUCUGCACUGUCAGUACAGAGCCCGGCUUGGGGCUUGAACUCACAAACUGCAAGAUCAUGACCUGAGCUGAAAUCAAGAGUCAGGUGCUUAACCAACCUAGGCUCCCCAAGGCCAGUCCUUUUUGACUAUAAGCCCAAUGUACUUUUUGGGGAGGCUGGGCAGAGGGUGAGGGGAAAUGGUUACUUGGAAAUACAAACAUAUAGACCUAUGGCUCUUGAACAAACUCCCUUAAGUUUAUAUCCACGUGAUUUAUAUUGUGGCUCUGUCUGAGCCCAAGAACGAUUUACCUUGUUUCUCUGUGUUUUUAGGUACUCUGAAUUUGAGGUCCACCCCAUCUAAUGAAGUUUGCUCCAGCUGUGUGAGGGGCUGCCGUAGGUUUGUUUGUUAGAAGUGAUGUGAGCACAGAGUGCAUUUUGUUUUCUGCCUUGGGCUUCCUGGCAUGUCAGGAAAACCCAGAAUGUGCCUUCUUGUUACCGCGGGAGUGUUAGGAAUCUACGGUGAGAGGCAGGACGGCUUUCCAGCAGAAAUGGCACAUACCGCAUUCCCUUGUCUGAGGGGGCCUCAGAGGCAUCUAUCUGGGGGCAUUGCUAGAAAAGAGAGGGCCUGUGUGAGGGCCCUGAGCUAUCUGGGUGAGGCAGUUCAGCCGAACACAGCCCCCGGUGCCUGUGAGUGCAGGGAUGACCCUUUGUCAGAGCAGGAGUGGCCGUACCUCCCGCCCCACCGCCCCCCACUCCAGGGACUUUCCCUUAGAGGUUCCACAUGGCUGCUGGUGUGGCAGUGGGGCAUGGGGUGUGGGGCACAGAGGUGUGACAGCUGGUUCUGGGCUGAGAGUUCGCUCUCUUUGAGCCCUGGCUCCACCACGGUAACAGUAACGUUUCUUAACUUACUGAGCUCUUGGGGCAUGCGUGCACUGUGCCCUUCUUAUUUCUUCAGCAUUGUAAGCAGUCUUACUGUGGUCAUUUCGCAGGUGGGAAGACUGAGGCUCAGGAAGCAUAAGCAACUUCCCAGGCCUGCAGAGGAUGUAGGUGGCAAGACUGAGACUCAGAUUUCUGAUUCUCAAACCUGUGCUCUUAACUGCCAUGCUUUAUUGGCACCUUGGCAAGCCAUCGAACCUCUUUGGGUCUCCAUUUCCUCCCCUGGAAAGUGGGGAUAAUGUGUUCCUGGCAUGCCAGCAGAGUACAGAUAAGAAGGGCUCAUCAGCUUUCAGACCCAUUCUUCUUGCCUGUCCCCCUGGCUCUGGGCAGCUGUCAGGCAUUGCCGCCUGCCGUGUUAUCUUUCCCGCCGGGGUAGGCGGGGCUCCUCUGCUCCUGAGUGUCAGGGUUCGCCUGAGGAGGCAACCCUGUACGUCUGGAGCGUGCCUCCCUGUGUCUCCCUUGGCAAUAGGAGAGGCAGCCGAGCCCUGCCCCAGCGAACAAUGGGGCACAUUCAGAAGGCAGCCAGGUGCCAAGCCAGAGGUGUUGAAGGGACAUUUGAUUAGUUUUAACCCUAGUGGUCAGGCUUUUGCUCUUUCUUUCUUUGUAGAAGUUAAGUGGGAAGGAAACAGGUGUGGCUUUCCUCUCCGUGCAGUUCACGUGGGCCUUCUGAUUUUGGGCGUGAGUACACCUCUUCGACCCCUCUCCUAUCCUCCGUCCUCUCCUGUCGCUGCGUAAGUCUGUGUCUCCCUCCUCACCUCCAGCCCCUGCUGUCUCUGUGCUGUGUGUGUCUCACUCAGCAAGUGCGAUGAGAGCUGAGACUGAAGAAUCCACGAUUCCAAGGGACUGUCUUUCAUCUUGUGCCAUCUCUCCCAACCUCAUCCCUGCCAGGCGGUCAGCCAGCUUUGGCUUGCACACCUCCAGUGAGAGGGAACUCACUUUCUUAGCUCAGCAGAGUCCUAGGUAAUCUGCCAUGGCUCAGGGAGGCUUAGAGGAUUUCUUGAGUGCCCACUCUCCUUUUCAGGCUCCUCUCAAAUCUUUCCUUUUCCAGAAAGUCUUUUCUGAUCUUUCCAGUUAGAAUUAAUCUCUGUCUCUUGGAAAUGCUUAUAGAAUUUAAUUUGUACAGCUUUAGUGGCACGGAUGUUAAAGUGCUAUGUUUUGCCAUUUCUCUAGGCAGAGGAAAGUAAUGUUGAAGGAGCUUUCCCAGUAGGACAGCUCGUUGGGUGAGGUUCCAGCUGGAGAGAAGGGAUACUAGAGAACUGCCAUGUGGGCCUGGGCUUCCUCCUGUAUCUAGAAAGUCCAUCUCCAAACUUGGCCAGUGUAUGUUAUGUAUUCUUUUCGUCCAGAGAAUAUGUUAGGCUUUGUGGGCCAUAUGGUCUCUGCGACGACUUCUCAACUCUGUCGUUGUAGUGUGAAAGCAGCCAGAGACAAUACAUAAAUGAACAAGGGUGCUGUGUUCCAAUAAAACUUUAUUUGCAAAAUAACAGGCAGCAGACGGGAUUUGCAGGCUGUGGUUUGCUGACCCGUGUUCUAGUCUCUUCCUGGUGGAUCAAAUGACUUUAGUUGCUGUGUGACCUUGGGGGUGCUGAGGUCCUUCUCCCAGCAUGGAUGAAUGGAAUGUUAUGGGUUGAAUCAUGUCCUCUAAAAGAUAUGUUGAAGUCCUAACCCCUGUACCUCAACAUGUGACCUUAUGUGGAACUAGGGUCAUUGCAGAUGUAAUUAGUUAAGAUUAACUAAUUGCCGGUGUAGGGUGGGCCCUUAAUCCCAUAUGAUUGACUUAGGUCCUUACAAGAGGGGAGACACAGCAAGGGAAAGAGCCAUGGGAAGACAGAGGAGGAGACCGGAGUGAUGCUGGCAUAAACCCAGGAAUACCUCAGGCCACCAGCAGCUGGAAGAGGCAAGGAUGCAUCCUCCACCAGAGGCUUUGGAGGGAGCAUGGCCCCACCAGCACCUUGAUUUUGAACUUGUAACCUCCACAACAAUGAGGCAAUAAAUUUCUGUUAUUUGAAGCCACCUAGUUGGUGGUGCUUUUUUAAGGCAGCCCCAGGAAACCAAUACAUGGACCAUUUUCCAUUUUCUCAUCAGAUUGUUUUAUGGGUGUUCAUGAGUGUGUUGAUGCAUUGUGUUUGGGUAGAGGUGGAUAAAACACUCUGCAAGGCAGGGAUAAUUGUCAUAAUCUCUUCUAGCUACUUCGAUUCCCUUUUAACUCAUGAAAAAAGCCUCUCUUCCUAUGGAGGAUUAGCAUAUUACCCUGCACGUAUAUAUUCUUUAAAGCCACACUCCUUAUUAACAGAUCAGCCUUUUUUUAAAAACUUAGCCAUUAGCCUGGAAUUCCAAUGAGUAAACAUGGUGCAUACUGCCUUUUAUUUAGCCCUAUUAUCUUUCUUUUUCUGAGUUUUGACUACAGUGAUUUCAACCACCUGUUUUUGUUCUGGGUCCCAACUCAUUUGAUUUGGAGGCUUACUAUGUGUUAAGUACAGAGAAUAGCCCUGCCUUCAGAGGGCUUGUAGUCUAUAGAGGAUAUAGACAAGUACACAGUGAUGUAGAACACAAGGCAGAGUGUACUUAGUACCGUGGGAGGGGUCAGCCUGGUGUUGUGAGGUGCUGGGAAGAGGAGGUCACACUGAUUUAGGUCAGGAAGGACUUCUGAAAGGUGGUGACUUUUAAGGUGGCCCCAGGGAAGGAUUGGGACCUCUCAGCUCACAGAAAGCGGGGAACCUAUUUUAGGAACAGGGAGUAUGCCUAAGUCACUGAACCUUCAGAUAUCAAAUAACUGCAGGGAGGUAAGGGCCAGAUCACAAGGGCUCUGCUGGGAGGCUGGGGAGGCUGGACUUCCAGAAAUUGGGAAGCCAUGGGCAGUUUUUGCACAAAAGAUGAUCUGAACAGAGGGGUGGCUCAGAGAAGUGGAUAUGGCAGUGCAGGAAGUAAUGGAGGCUGUGGGCUACUUUGGAGGCUAUGUGGGUGGAGUCCAUUCAUUUGUCCACUAUACUCUGCUGUGGUCUGGACACCGUGCCAGGUAGUGAGGCCACCAAGAGGCAUAACUUGCAGCCUCUGAGCAUCAGAUACUGAUAAUAGUAACUCCCAUGCAGGCUACCUUUGCCCAACACAGUUUUAAGUACCUUACAUAAAAGGUUUUCUUAGUUUUCACAGCAACCCAAUGGUGUGCACACUGAUAUCUCCAUUUUAUAGAGGAGGACACUAAGCACCAUGGAGAGGAAAUGUCACACCCAAGGUCACAUAGUUGGUCACUGAUGGAACUGUGAUUGGCCUGCAGGGUCCUGAGCCUUCACCACUAACCUUGACUCCAUACACCCAACGGGUCAUUUAGAAUACAGUGAGAUCUGUUUCUGGUAACUGCAGGUAAAAGUUCCAUGUGAACACAUAGGAGAGCAAAUUAACCCAGAUGGGCAGGGUGGGUGGAGCAGGAAGGCUUACUCAAGGAGGGAAUCGUCACCUAAGUCUUUGAAGGUGAGUGGGGUAAUUUAGCCAGGCAGGCAAAGGGCUGGGUGUAGAAUGGGGAGCAUAGGGAUUUUCUGUGGAGGGGAAGCACAGUCCCAGAAAGGGGAAGACAGCAUGGUGUGUUGAGGGCCUUCCAAGUUCAGUGUUGCUGGCCCCUAGUAAGUAAAGCCAGGAGUGGGCCUGGCAGAGGCUAGCGUAUAGGUGGGGCCAGGUCCAUGGACUAGACUCUGUGGUUGCCAGAGACAUGAAGGGCGUUGGGCAGAGAAGUCUUGUGACCAGAUUUGCUUUCUGAUGGGACCAAGAGUUGGAAGAGAUCCAGGAGGUCAUUUUGUCAAUUGCUGUCAGAUGUCUGCAUGCGAGGGCAGAUGACACAGAGGAGCUCCCAGGACAGGACUCGUGAGGCCAGAGCACUCCAAGCAUGGGACGUGACUCGGAAGGCUCAGCUAGUUGUUUAGCUGGUGUUUGGGUCUGUAGUUCUGCUUCAUUCAAUGUGUCAUUCAUCCAUCGGAUUUUGACUGAAUGCUGAACGUGCCCAGGCUGGCUCUCUGCUAAGCACUUGACAUUCCAGGAGGAAAGGACAUGGUCUCUGCCCUUGAGGCCAGCUGGACCACUAGGCAGAUAAUUCCAGGGCAGUGGGAUGCAAGCAGUCGGUGGAGUGGGCAUUGGGCCCUGAGAGCACAGUAGAGGAAGCACAGUCUCCCUGCUGCUGCCUCUCUCCUUGCCCCCUCCCCACCUCACUCCCAGCCUUAAGAAGAAAACGAUUUUUAACACUUAUUUAUUUUUGAGAGACAGAGCGUGAGCAGGGGAGGGUCAGAGAGAGAGAGGGAGACCCAGAAUCUGAAGCAGGCUUCAGGCUCUGAGCUGUCAGCACAGAGCCCGACACGGGGCUCGAACUCACAAACCGUGAGCUCAUGACCUGAGCUGAAGUCAAACGUUUAACCGACUGAGCCACCCAGGUGCCCCACUUCCAGCCUUGUAAAGCCACAGGCUUGCCUGGAUUUGAAUCCCAGCUCUGCCCUUUACUAGCUGUGUGACGUUGGGAGUUACUGAAUCUCUUUGUGUCCUCUGUUUUAAAAUGAGCACGGUAGUAGUAUCUGCCUCAACAGAUAGCCAUCAGGAUUAAAUUAGUUCACGUCCACAAAGCAGUCAGGAUAGUGCUUUGGCAUACAAGAAGUGCUCCAUAGAUGCUCUUAUUACUUUAGGUCCAGAAUCCCUCAGCCUAAACCCUCUGUACAAGGCACAUUUUAGGUUUCAGGAUGAUGUUAGUCAGGGUUCAAUCAGGUGAGAGAAACCGCCCAGUUAUCUAAACACUGAAAGCUUAAUAUAAAGAAUUAUGAACCCUGACAAGAGAUUGCAGUAAUGAAGGAUUGACUGCUAUGAAGUAACGAGUGCUCUAAAUAUAGCUUAAAGAAUGUGGGGAUAGCAGAUGUAGGAGCAGUGGCUCCCCCUAGGGCUCAGGUAGAGCACCAAGGAGCACCCCCAUCCCGGUUGUGAUGGAAUUCGAAAGGAAGAUCCUCCCUCCUGGGGCUGAGAUGGAGCACUCGUGGAAGAGGCCCCCAGACAGAGAUCUUGGCUUCGUUGGGGAGGGCACAGCUGUGCUUCGCGAAUGGUAGAGAAGCAGCGUGGUGCCACGCCAGUGACGGGUGCCGGGGACAGCUGUCCGUGGUGAGGCGCCUCCCAGAAGGCAGUCGGCUACAAUACCACGGGAGUGGGUAACACGGGGAGGCUGCUGGCGGCUUGGUGCCGUUGCACACUGUGGCCGGACGAUAGAAACGUUGUGUUUGCGGCUCUGGCUGGCCCUGUGCCAGAGACGUGGUCAUCAGGCUUACGUGAGUUCGCUCCUCGGUGAGUCACAGACAGAAACUAGACCAGGUGGCGUGGUCACACAAAAGAAACUUUAUUUGCAGCAAAUAAGGAGAUCACGGGGAAUAACUUCCAAAGCCGUGAGCCCCCAGACAAGGGUGAAUGGGUUGCUUUCACUCAAGGUUAGGAUGACUUUUCAUCGUUAUGUAGAGGCGAACGUAAGGUCAUGCCUAUAUGUACGUUGUACGCUAUGUAAGUGCGUCUUGUGCUCCUCCUUGGGCGGAGAUUUUAGUGUCAAGGGAGCUGCAUGGGUCACUCCGCGGUCCGUCUGUACAGGUACAGGUCAGAGGUUAGGCUCAAACUGUUCUGUGUGGUCUGGGCCUCCAGAGCCCUUCGUCCGGGCAGUUGUCAUUGCUUGAGAGGUGGCUUUGGUUUCCAUCACCGGGUGCUAUGCCUCUUGGGUCUUUUGCCUGAAUUAAGAGAGAAGCUGCAAAAAAGAGCGUAAGGAAAAGUGUAGGACAGAGGUUGGUGGGUCCAAGCAGGUGAGCAGUAAAGGUCAGGUGUCGGGGUCCAGCAGGUAACAAAGUCAUCUGUGCUGCCUGCCUGGCACAUGUACCAGAACCAGGAUAGAAAACAUACAGGAAAACCCUUUCCUCCCACAGUGUCUCUCUAGCAUCUUCGACCUGUCGCUGUGAUUACUAUUAACAUCAUGUUGUCUAGCGAGGGAGAAAAUGUUUAAAGGGCCCAGAUCUAUUUUUGCACAGCAGACAGGGAAGGUGCAUUUGUGGUUGGGAGGCAAUAAACUGGUCAGGGGCACAAGAAUCUUUCUGAUUUAGGGAAGUUGAUGCAGUGCAUAUAUUAUAUUAUGUAAUAGCCCCAUUGGGGUCUAUGGGUAGCUCUCCAUAACCAGAACAUACUAUUUUUUUUUUUCCUGUGGCAAAAAUGUAAGAAUAUUCAUGCUAAGUGGAUAAAGAGCAUAAGUAGCUUCGUGUCCAUUCAGGCCAGGUUUUGUCACCAAAUGAGUUAUAAAAAAAAAAAAAAAAGUUACAGAAAAAGCUUUUGAUCCUGAAAUCGAGGCUAAGGGAUGGUUGUGUCAUGUGUUUUCAUUACCUUUCUCUACACAGCAGCCAGAGGGGUCUUUUGGAAAAUGUCCAUUAUGCCACUGGCUAAGGUAAAGACUAAACUUCACUCCAGGCCCCCUCCCAACACUCCCCUCCCUGCCACCCCUGCCCUCCAUUCAUACUGACCUUGAACAAGCCAUCUUGUUACCUGGAGUGUUCUUCCAGUCUCCCCGCCACACCAACACACAUGCACAUGCACACACACAUGCACAAAUGGCUCGGCUAACACCGCCUCACGCUUCGGAUCUCAGCUCAGGUGUCUUAACCUCAGGAUAGCCUUCUGACCAUCUUUCCCCCCACCCCCCAGCCCUCAUCCUGGUUCAGGCCUUUUUUCUUUAACACACAUCUUAGUUUGUGAUCACACAAACUUGUAAUUAGUGUGAUUAGUUGAUUACUGUGUCACCCUCUGAAACGGUGAGUGCCAUGAGGUUGGUGGCUAUGUCUGUUUUUCCCCCUCGUUAUUUUAUCCCCAGUGCUUUACACAAUGCCUGACAUGCAACAUAUUUGAUGAAGGAGAAAAUGAAUGGACAGUCUUGGAUUAGAUCCCAAACCAGGCCAAAAAGAAUUAGCUAUAAAGGACAUUACGGAAACUUAGGAACUGUAGAUGAGCUGUUAGUAUUGUAUCAGUGUUAAAUUUCCUGACUUUGGUAUCCUUAUUUUAGGAAAUACAUGCUAAAGAAUUUAGGAGUAAGGGGUUAUAUGCCUUCACCUUUCUCUCAAAUGUUUCAGGACAAAAAAAAAAAAAAAUUGAAGUUUAGAUAGCUUCGAGAGAGAAUGAUGAAACAUGUAACAACAAACAUGGAUGAAAGAUAUAUAGGAGUUCAUCAUGCUGUUCUUGUAUCUUUUCUCUGAGUUCAAAGUUACUUCACAAUAAGAUAUUGUAAAGAAUUCAGUGAAUAGAAACAAAUGAACAAAAGGGAAAAGGGAUGCUAGGAGGAGUGCUCUCCGAAGGGCUUGGUCACUCUGGGGAGCUCUGAGGGGGCUGUGUGGCUGGAGCAUGGCCCUGGGGUUGGGGAGGGAUCAGCUGGGGGUGGGGAAGGAUUGGCUGGAGCUGGGUCCCUCAUCUGGGCCGCAGGCCUGUGUGUUUUGAGGGGGUGAAGCACUGAGCUGUACGGCCAGCCUUAGCCUGAGUACUCCACAUUCCCUCUCCUCUUCCCUAUGGUGAUUACUGAGCCAAAGCCUGAGUGGGUGAAGCCAGCCCAUCUUGGGUCUUCCGUCUGAUUUCUCUUUUAGUUUAAUAAUAGGGAAGCUCUCAUCCAAGUAUGAGGAUUACUCCUCCUACCUGAAAACUACAACUUUCCUGUUGUCUGUUUGUUGUUAAGCCCACCACAUGGUUCCUGUAUGGGUUAUAUGUGGCUGUAUAGCGGAUUAUCCCAAAAUGUGGUAGCUUAACACAAUGUUUAUUACCGUGUGGUUUCUGUGGGUCAGGAAUCUAGGCUCAGCUGGGUGGCUCUGGCUCAUGGUGGGUCUCUCAUGAGAUUACAGUCAAGAUGUUGGCCAGCUCUGGAGUCAUCUGAGGUCUUGACUGGGGCUAGGGGAUCUGCUUUCAAGAAGGCUCACUCUCAUGGCUGUUGCAGGAGGCCUCAAUUUCUCAACGCCUGGACCUCUCUGUAAGGAAGCUUGAGUGUCAUUACUGCGUGGCAGCUAGCUUACCCCAGAACGAGUGAUCUGAGAGUGAGAGCAAGCAGGAAGUCACAGUUCCUUGUGUGACCUAGUCUCAGAAGUUGCACGUUGUCGUGUAUGCUUUGCUCUGUUAGUUGGAUGUGAGUCACUAAGUUUAGCAGACCCCACCUCUUGAAGGGAGGAGUGUGAAAGAACUUGGGCACAUUUUAAAACCACCACAGCUCCUGAGGGCCUACCGCGUGCUGGGCACUAGAGGUGGUUCAGGGGAUCCAAGGCAUGGACCACCGUCUGCCCUCCAGAAGUUCACAUCUGCUUGGGGAGUGUCUGCUUUCUUCCAUGAAGAUGUGGAUGCUUCGGGGGACACCUGCCCAAUCCCUCCUCUGCACAGGCCCAGACGGUGGCCAAGCUGGGUUUUAGGAAGCUGAACGAUCUGGGACAUCCAGCCAUACCUGAAAUCUCCCAUUACAGCUCUCUUCUUGGGUGAAGACUCCACAGGCACCCAGGAAGCUCUUUGAAAAUGCACACAGGAAAAGAAAGAAAAAAGGCCACAGGAAUGCAACCUGACAACUGUCUCAGCCUCCAAGUGUUGGAUUGCCAUGGACUCAGCCGCUGAGUAAAUUAGCUUUGCCACGAAGGCAACCACAGAACGCUGGUCCUCUCCAAGCCACAUUUAUGGUGCUCCCCGCUGCGAUUUGAGGCCUGUCUGCCGAGCUUCCUGCCUCUUGGCCUUCCGCCGCUCUUUGUGCUGAGGCCAUGCUUCCAAGAGCAGCUUUCAGACCAACUUUAGGUUUUGCUUACUUUGCCGGUGAACAUCCUGCUCGUUUUAUUUUGUGGUUGGUUUUUAUAAGGAAAAAAAAAAAUUUAAGUACAUAUUUUUCAGACAACUGUGUUGAGGGGUAUUUGAGAUACAAUAAAUUGCACACUUUUGAAAGUGUGUAACUUAAUCCAUUUUAACAUAUGUAUAAACUUUGUGAGACUACCAUCGAAAUCAUAAUAAAUAUUUCUAUCAUCCCCGGA